AACCUGCCUUUCAGAGGGGACAACAGUUGGAAACGACUGCUAAUACCGCAUAACACAUAGGUGUCGCAUGCAUUUAUGUCAAAGAUUUAUCGCUGAAAGAUGGCCUCGCGUCUGAUUAGCUAGUUGGUGAGGUAACGGCUCACCAAGGCGACGAUCAGUAGCCGGACUGAGAGGUUGGCCGGCCACAUUGGGACUGAGAUACGGCCCAGACUCCUACGGGAGGCAGCAG
rnacentral:rRNA from 1 species